CCCACCGCGGGCGGCUGCCGGAAGAACGCGGGCUGCUGCCUGGAGACCGCGGGCGACGGCUGCGCCUUGCUCGCCUGAGCUCCUUCGCGAGCCGGGACUCGAGCGGCGCUGGGCGGCGGCCUCCUGCACUCCGUGAAGUUGAAUGAGCGUAACAAUCAAAGUGGCCGCCGCCGCGGCUCCUCAGCAGCCCGGAGGCUCAGCGCCUAGACGAGUUCGGGGCAGAAUGAGACCCGAGGUGGGAGGAGAACGGCGGGCCGAGGAUCGGGUCCUCCUCGCUCGAUUCGCCUCCUCCUGGGAUUGUGGUAGCCGGGUCCAAGGGAAGAGGACGGAGCGUUGGGACUGACCAUUUGGAGGAAGGUUGCCCGGGGAUCCUGUUAGUGCACCUGCCCCUUCUCCCCCGACCCCAAGACAUUUUUAACAUCACCUCAUCCCUCAAGUUCGGCUCUCUCAUUCUCCAGUAAAAAAGGCUAAACUGUUGGGUCUGAUAGGUAAUCGAGUGGUGUAUGAGGAAAAGAGGGAGAAAGGGAUUGGUGAGACGGGUCUGGGGUUGCAGCUCGGGAGUAGAGCCCUUGCCCUGCAAGCGCGGAACCCCGGGAUUCAAUCCCCAGCACUGGGGUGGGGGCGGGGGUAAUAAGAAGUGAGAAGAAAAUUGCCAAAAUCGGGUUGAGAAAGUCCUGUGAAGUAGAAAGUACUUCUGUCCAUUAGUUCCAGAUACAUUUGUAAGACAAGAAGCCGUGUUGGAACAUAGCGAUAUUGGUUCUUUAAUUGGGAGCGGUGAGCUCAUCAUAAAAGUGUUGAGCUCUGAGGUUGUACAGCUGUUAACCAGCAGCUGCAGACCAGGCAAAAGUGCCUGUCCUUCAACAGGAUGGGAGUCAAGGGGUUGACCCCAGUGAGGAAGCUGGGUAAGUGCUGUGGAACUCUUCCAGGUAGUUAAAAGUCCCUUUUUCAUUAUAGUACUUUUCCUAGAAGUGAUCCUCCCAUCAUUAAAUAGAGGUAAGCUACUGAAGUCAGUUUUGCCCUUCAACUUCUCAGGACCGCUGGACUGGAGAUGGCACAGGAGCAGUUGAGUAUAAUCACCAUUGAAAAAUGGACUGAAGAAAAACUUAAGGAAAAAGAAAAAGAUGGGCUGAACAUGGAAGAAGUUCACCUGUCAAGCAAAAUUAUCUGCUUCUACUUUUUUGCACAAUGAUAAAUAAGAUUUCCCAUACUAAUAAAAAAUACAUAAAUGUUGAAUUUGAAAGUCCCUAUUGUAACAAACACUGCUAAACUUAAUAUAAAUUCACCAAAUCCCAGAAAUUAGAGUUUAAAUGGGCUAUUGUACCCCUAAAUAGUAAAAUUCAUAGUGCUUUCUUUAAAAAGGUUUAUUCUUAGGAUAUUGUAAUAAUAGUGUCUAAUCAUUAUAGUUGUCAGGUAGAGACCAGUAUUAGUAUACCAAGUUGACCAAAGAUUUAUAGCCUCAAACAUCUUUCCUUCAUAGUAAUAAUGUGUGAUUAGUCUUUUUGUGAUUAUAUGGUUGUCUCCCCUGCUCUGCUGUAAGCUCUCUGAGAGCAGGGACCAUGUCUUUUCUGCUCAAGGGCAUAUUUGAGAGCCAGCACAUAGCUGGACACAAUCUCAGCAACUUGGGAGGCUGAGGCAGGAAGAUUGCCAAGUUCUAGGCCAGUCUAGGCAACUUAGCAUGAUCCUGUCUCAAAAUAAAAAAUAAAAAGGUGUUACUGAGCACCCUUGGCUUCCAUCCCCAGUUCUGAGAAAAAAUAUCAAGAGCCAGCACAUACUGGCAAUUAAUGGCCACCUCAAUAUUUACUGAAUACAUGAAUGAACUUAGGAAGUAUGGAGGAAUUUCGAGGCUAAGAUAAUGACUGGAGUUUUGGAUGUGCUGAGUUUGAAGUAUCUGUGCUUCAUUCCAAUGAGCCUCUUCAUUGCAAGGUCAGUUUCCCAUCUCGCCUUGACAUACUCAGCUCACACAUUCAAACACAGAGCCCUCUGGCUUCUCCCAUCUAAUAGGCAAUCAUAUAUUUCCCUGGGGUGGGAGAGAUAAGUAUAAUAAUGGUGUAUUUGAGGUGAUCUUCCCUGUGGCAAUAUAUAUCACACCCUCUCCUCCCUCCUAAAUAAACAUGACUCUUUCCCAAUCCUUGUAAAAAAAAAAAAAAAAAAAAAAACGAUCCCAUUUACCUCAGCCUAAAA
rnacentral:lncRNA from 1 species